UGCGCAGGCGGAACUUUAAGUCAGUGGUGAAAUCUUGCCGCUUAACGGUAAAAUUGCCAUUGAUACUGAAGUUCUUGAAUAUGGUUGAGGUAGGCGGAAUGUGUUGUGUAGCGGUGAAAUGCAUAGAUAUGACACAGAACGCCGAUUGCGAAGGCAGCUUACUAAGCCAUUAUUGACGCUGAGGCACGAAAGCGUGGGGAGCGAACAAGAUUAGAUACCCUGGUAGUCC
rnacentral:rRNA from 1 species